UACGUAGGUGGCAAGCGUUGUCCGGAUUUACUGGGUGUAAAGGGCGUGUAGCCGGGCUGACAAGUCAGAUGUGAAAUUCCGGGGCUCAACCCCGGACCUGCAUUUGAAACUGUUUGUCUUGAGUAUCGGAGAGGCAGGCGGAAUUCCUAGUGUAGCGGUGAAAUGCGUAGAUAUUAGGAGGAACACCAGUGGCGAAGGCGGCCUGCUGGACGACAACUGACGGUGAGGCGCGAAAGCGUGGGGAGCAAACAGG
rnacentral:rRNA from 1 species